rnacentral:lncRNA from 1 species
UGACUCUGUACCGGUACCCCCUGUAUAUAGCCUCCACAUUGACUCUGUACCGGUACCCCCUGUAUAUAGCCUCCACAUUGACUCUGUACCGGUACCCCCCUGUAUAUAGCCUCCACAUUGACUCUGUACCAGUAGCCCCUGUAUAUAGCCUCGCAAUUGUUAUAUACUGCUGCUCCUUAAUUAUUUGAUUUCUUAUCUUAUUUUUCUUUUUUGAUGGGGGGUAUUUUCUUAAAACUGCAUAGCUAGUUAAGGGCUUGUAAGUAAGCAUUUCCCUGUAAGGACUACACCUGUUGUAUUUGGCACAUGUGAGAAAUAACAUAAAAAUUUGAUUUUGAUUUACUUCUGCACAUCGACACGGUACUGGUACUUUCUGUAUGUAGCCGUGUUAUUACCUGGUACUCCCUUUGUAUAGCCAUGUUAUUACCUCUUUCCCCUGCACAUCGACACGUUACUGGUACUUUCUGUAUGUAGCUGUGUUAUUUUCACUCAUUGUUAUUGGUUAUUCACUGUUUAUUUAUCCCUCGUUUCACUGUUUAUAUUUUAUAUUUUUAUCUUUAACUCUGCAUUGUUAGAGAAGGACCCGUAAUUAAGCAUUUCACUGUUAGUCUACACCUGUUGUUUACGAAUCAUGUGACAAAUAACAUUUAAUUUGAUUUGAGUUAGUCAUGUGUGAGUCAUACGUUUAAAACGUGGGUGGUCCCGGAUAUCGAACCCACAACCCUGGUAUUGCAUGUGCAAUGCUCUACCAACUGAGUGAUGUUUAUUUGUAAUGAGAAAGAGUACAGAUGUUGGAAUGAAAAAUUGGAUAGUGUACAGUAUUUCCUUUUCACAAAUUGAUAUGCUGUAUGCUGUAAUUGAGGACGGAGCCACUGCAGCUUCAGUUCAGGUCAGAACAUGUCUUUAUAGUCCAGUUAAAAUAUCUGUUUGAUCCAAACUGUCAAACCUCUCAGAUUUUCCCAAAGCCUUGAUGGAGGAGAGAGGGGAUCAGUUCCUCCCUAAAGCAGAGUCCUCACACCGGUGGGGGUUUUGUGACCUCUUUAAAAGGAGAACAUGAUAAAUCAGGUCUGGAACACAAUAAAAUAUGCAUUUCAGAAACCAAUUAGCCACUCUAGCUCCACCACGUCACCUGCCUGGGACGGAGAGGAGCGUUCAGUGUGUGAUAAUGCUGUGAGGAGUGGUGGGAUGGAGAGGAGCGUGUGAUAAUGCUGUGAGGAGUGGUGGGAUGGAGAGGAGCGUGUGAUAACGCUGUGAGGAGUGUUGGGAUGGAGAGGAGCGUGUGAUAAUGCUGUGAGGAGUGGUGGGAGGGAGAGGAGCGUUCAGCGUGUGAUAACGCUGUGAGGAGUGGUGGGAUGGAGAGGAGCGUGUGAUAAUGCUGUGAGGAGUGGUGGGAUGGAGAGGAGCGUGUGAUAACGCUGUGAGGAGUGUUGGGAUGGAGAGGAGCGUGUGAUAAUGCUGUGAGGAGUGGUGGGAUGGAGAGGAGCGUUCAGCGUGUGAUAACGCUGUGAGGAGUGAUGGGAUGGAGAGGAGCGUGUGAUAAUGCUGUGAGGAGUGAUGGGAUGGAGAGGAGCGUUCAGUGUGUGAUAACGCUGUGAGGAGUGGUGGGAUGGAGAGGAGCGUGUGAUAAUGCUGUGAGGAGUGGUGGGAUGGAGAGGAGCGUGUGAUAACGCUGUGAGGAGUGUUGGGAUGGAGAGGAGCGUGUGAUAAUGCUGUGAGGAGUGGUGGGAUGGAGAGGAGCGUUCAGCGUGUGAUAACGCUGUGAGGAGUGAUGGGAUGGAGAGGAGCGUGUGAUAAUGCUGUGAGGAGUGAUGGGAUGGAGAGGAGCGCGUGAUAACACUGUGAGGAGUGGUGGGAUGGAGAGGAGCGUGUGAUAAUGCUGUGAAGAGUGGUGGGAUGGAGAGGAGCGUGUGAUAACGCUGUGAGGAGUGGUGGGAUGGAGAGGAGCGUGUGAUAAUGCUGUGAGGAGUGAUGGGAUGGAGAGGAGCGUGUGAUAACGCUGUGAGGAGUGGUGGGAUGGAGAGGAGCGUUCAGCGUGUGAUAACGCUGUGAGGAGUGGUGGGAUGGAGAGGAGCGUGUGAUAAUGCUGUGAGGAGUGGUGGGAUGGAGAGGAGCGUUCAGCGUGUGAUAACGCUGUGAGGAGUGGUGGGAUGGAGAGGAGCGUGUGAUAACGCUGUGAGGAGUGGUGGGAUGGAGAGGAGUGUGUGAUAACGCUGUGAGGAGUGGUGGGAUGGAGAGGAGCGUGUGAUAAUGCUGUGAGGAGUGGUGGGAUGGAGAGGAGCGUGUGAUAACGCUGUGAGGAGUGGUGGGAUGGAGAGGAGCGUGUGAUAAUGCUGUGAGGAGUGGUGGGAUGGAGAGGAGCGUGUGAUAACGCUGUGAGGAGUGGUGGGAUGGAGAGGAGCGUUCAGCGUGUGAUAACGCUGUGAGGAGUGGUGGGAUGGAGAGGAGCGUGUGAUAACGCUGUGAGGAGUGGUGGGAUGGAGAGGAGCGUUCAGCGUGUGAUAACGCUGUGAGGAGUGGUGGGAUGGAGAGGAGCGUUCAGCGUGUGAUAAUGCUGUGAGGAGGGAUGGGAUGGAGAGGAGCGUGUGAUAAUGCUGUGAGGAGUGGUGGGAUGGAGAGGAGCGUUCAGCGUGUGUUAACGCUGUGAGGAGUGAUAUGAUGGAGGGUGAAGAGCCACCUGAACUAGAUAUUUAGUCUACUUACCAAAUGGCAUCCUAUUCUCUACAUAGUGCGCUACUUUUGACCAGAGCCCUAUGAGGAACAGGGUUCCAUUUGAG